GAAUAUUGGACAAUGGGCGAAAGCCUGAUCCAGCAAUGCCGCGUGUGUGAAGAAGGUCUUCGGAUUGUAAACCACUUUAAGUUGGGAGGAAGGGCAGUAAGCGAUUCACCUGCUUUUUUGACGUUACUCACAGAAAUCGCCCCGGCUAACUCUGUCCCCGUAGCCGCGGUAAUACAGAGGGUGCAAGCGUUAAUCGGAAUUACUGGGCGGAAAGCGCGCGUAGGUGGUUCGUUAAGUUGGAUGUGAAAUCCCCGGGCUCAACCUGGGAACUGCAUCCAAAACUGGCGAGCUAGAGUAGGGCAGAGGGUGAUGGAAUAUCCUGUGUAGCGGUGAAAUGCGUAGAUAUAGGAAGGAACACCAGUGGCGAAGGCGACCACCUGGGCUCAUACUGACACUGAGGUGCGAAAGCGUGGGGAGCAAACA
rnacentral:rRNA from 1 species